rnacentral:rRNA from 1 species
GUAGGUGGCAAGCGUUGUCCGGAAUUAUUGGGCGUAAAGCGCGCGCAGGCGGGUUCUUUAAGUCUGAUGUGAAAGCCCACGGGCUCAACCGUGGAGGGUCAUUGGAAACUGGAGAACUUGAGUACAGAAGAGGAAAGCGGAAUUCCACGUGUAGCGGUGAAAUGCGUAGAGAUGUGGGGGAACACCAGUGGCGAAGGCGGCUUUCUGGUCUGUAACUGACGCUGAGGCGCGAAAGCGUGGGGAGCAAACAGGAUUAGAUACCCUGGUAGUCCACGCCGUAAACGAUGAGUGCUAAGUGUUAGGGGGUUUCCGCCCCUUAGUGCUGCAGCUAACGCAUUAAGCACUCCGCCUGGGGAGUACGGCCGCAAAGGCUG